rnacentral:snRNA from 1 species
GGCCUUGCUGCCACGAUCCACU